rnacentral:rRNA from 1 species
AUUGAACGCUGGCGGCAGGCCUAACACAUGCAAGUCGAGCGAGCGGCGGACGGGUGAGUAAGGUCUGGGACACUGCCUGAGGGAGGGGGAUAACUACUGGAAACGGUAGCUAAUACCGCAUACCAUCAGAUGUGCCCAGAUGGGAGUAGCUAGUGGGUGGGGUAAUGGCUCACCUAGGCGACGAACCCUAGCUGGUCUGAGAGGAUGACCAGCCACACUGGAACUGAGACACGGUCCAGACUCCUACGUGAGGCAGCAGUGGGGAAUAUUGGACAAUGGGCGCAAGCCUGAUACAGCCAUGCCGCGUGUGUGAAGAAGGCCUUCGGGCUGUAAAGCACUUUCAGCUAGGAGGCGUUACUCGCAGAAGAAGCACCGGCUAACUCCGUGCCAGCAGCCGCGGUAAUUC